GGCUCGGUAGCUCAGUCGGUAGAGCAGCGGCCUGAAGAGCCGUGUGUCGAUGGUUCGAUUCCUUCCCGAGCCG
rnacentral:tRNA from 1 species